GAUGAACGCUGGCGGCGUGCCUAAUACAUGCAAGUCGAGCGAACAGACGAGGAGCUUGCUCCUCUGACGUUAGCGGCGGACGGGUGAGUAACACGUGGAUAACCUACCUAUAAGACUGGGAUAACUUCGGGAAACCGGAGCUAAUACCGGAUAAUAUAUUGAACCGCAUGGUUCAAUAGUGAAAGACGGUUUUGCUGUCACUUAUAGAUGGAUCCGCGCCGCAUUAGCUAGUUGGUAAGGUAACGGCUUACCAAGGCGACGAUGCGUAGCCGACCUGAGAGGGUGAUCGGCCACACUGGAACUGAGACACGGUCCAGACUCCUACGGGAGGCAGCAGUAGGGAAUCUUCCGCAAAGGGCGAAAGCCUGACGGAGCAACGCCGCGUGAGUGAUGAAGGUCUUCGGAUCGUAAAACUCUGUUAUUAGGGAAGAACAAAUGUGUAAGUAACUAUGCGCGUCUUGACGGUACCUAAUCAGAAAGCCACGGCUAACUACGUG
rnacentral:rRNA from 1 species